CCGGAACGACACCGUGACGCUCAGAAACGCGGCGCAAACCCCAGAGUGGAUUUGCAGGUUUAUGUUGCAGUUUACGGCUGACCGGACUCGUAUAUGACGAAAUUCGCGCAGCGCAGCAAAAAGACGUGCGAAAUACGCGGGAACUCGACACACCUCUCAUCGCUCUGCUGGAUGUGUCGUGCUACAUGUGUUUACAUGUCCUUAAACCUGCUCUCUCUUACAAAAUAAUGCAGCUCCUGCUGUGUUUACGUCAAUGGCAGCAGCCACAGCACCUUGUUUUCUUCUCGCCAUGUCCUUCGACGACUUUGACUGACUCAGAGCUCAGUACCGCCCACCAAACCCAGCCCCAUUUAUAGCCCAGACUGAAAUUGAGGGUCUCAAGGCUCUGGAAAUUGUAAGCGACACUGUGUAAGAGUGCAAGUAAGAGCGUGCGAUAUGUGUGUACGGCUUUCCUUUGUUACUUUCACGCGAGCUACUCGUUGCCAAGUUGCCUACAUAUUUAGCUUUGGUUACCUAUGGUCGCCUCCUUUUAAGCCAUAAACUUGCUUCAACUGAUAUUUAAGCCGUUGAAAUAUUUUAAAUAUUUGUAAACGAAUAAAUUUCUCCAAGUUAACAUGCAUUUUCCUUUUAACCAUUUUAGCCAAACACAUU
ensembl:ncRNA lncRNA:CR46350 long non-coding RNA:CR46350